rnacentral:rRNA from 1 species
GACGAACGCUGGCGGCGUGCUUAACACAUGCAAGUCGAGCGGUAAGGCUCCUUCGGGAGUACACGAGCGGCGCACGGGUGAGUAACACGUGAGUAAUCUGCCCUUCACUUCGGGAUAACCACCGGAAACGGUGGCUAAUACCGAAUACGACCAGUCUUCGCAUGAGGUGCUGGUGGAAAGUCUUUUCGGUGAAGGAUGUGCUCGCGGCCUAUCAGCUUGUUGGUGGGGUAAUGGCCUACCAAGGCUUCGACGGGUAGCCGGCCUGAGAGGGUGACCGGCCACACUGGGACUGAGACACGGCCCAGACUCCUACGGGAGGCAGCAGUGGGGAAUAUUGGACAAUGGGCGAAAGCCUGAUCCAGCAACGCCGCGUGAGGGAUGACGGCCUUCGGGUUGUAAACCUCUUUCAGUACCGACGAAGCGCCCUGUCGGGUGGUGACGGUAGGUACAGAAGAAGGACCGGCCAACUACGUG